rnacentral:rRNA from 1 species
GUUGAACGCUGGCGGCGUGCCUAAUACAUGCAAGUCGAGCGAACAGACGAGGAGCUUGCUCCUCUGACGUUAGCGGCGGACGGGUGAGUAACACGUGGAUAACCUACCUAUAAGACUGGGAUAACUUCGGGAAACCGGAGCUAAUACCGGAUAAUAUAUUGAACCGCAUGGUUCAAUAGUGAAAGCCGGUUUUGCUGUCACUUAUAGAUGGAUCCGCGCCGCAUUAGCUAGUUGGUAAGGUAACGGCUUACCAAGGCAACGAUGCGUAGCCGACCUGAGAGGGUGAUCGGCCACACUGGAACUGAGACACGGUCCAGACUCCUACGGGAGGCAGCAGUAGGGAAUCUUCCGCAAUGGGCGAAAGCCUGACGGAGCAACGCCGCGUGAGUGAUGAAGGUCUUCGGAUCGUAAAACUCUGUUAUUAGGGAAGAACAAAUGUGUAAGUAACUAUGCACGUCUUGACGGUACCUAAUCAGAAAGCCACGGCUAACUACGUG